CCUACGGGUGGCUGCAGUGGGGAAUAUUGCACAAUGGGGGAAACCCUGAUGCAGCGACGCCGCGUGAGGGAAGAAGGAAUUCGGGAUGGAAAGCUCUAUCAGCAGGGAAGAAAAUGACGGUACCUGAGUAAGAAUCCCCGGCUAACUACGUCCCAGCAGCCGCGGUAAUACGUAGGGGGCAAGCGUUAUCCGGAUUUACUGGGGGUAAAGGGAGCGUAGACGGCAGUGCAAGUCAGGGGUGAAAGGCGGGGGCUCAACCCCCGGACUGCUCUUGAAACUGUACGGCUGGAGUGCAGGAGAGGUAAGUGGAAUUCCUGGUGUAGCGGUGAAAUGCGUAGAUAUUAGGAGGAACACCAGUGGCGAAGGCGGCUUACUGGACUGUAACUGACGUUGAGGCUCGAAAGCGUGGGGAGCAAACAGGAUUAGAUACCCGUGUAGUC
rnacentral:rRNA from 1 species